UCAAAGGGCAUUGAGAAGGCGUCAGAACUAUCUUGUUGGAGCAACAAAGUCAAUGCUACUGAUAAAUGCCUACCAUCAGAUGGCAAUGCUAGCGGUGGCAUAUCACAACAUGAUAGACCUUCGGGCUCUAGGAGUUCAGCUGAUGAUGGAUGCUCUUCUCGGAAGCGUGCUAGGAAGGAGGGAGGUGGCUUUUUAGAUCUGAACUUGCCAGCAGAGAUUAUGGAUAGAAACUGAAUUCAGUCUGAGUGCAGACUUGAUACAACUACAAAGUGUACAGCUCUAACUCAAGGCCCUUUCCUUCAUGGAAUUGAUCAUUUGUGGAUUAAGCACCACAAAGUGCUUUGCCUUUUACCCUUAAUAGCUUUUUGUUCAGCAUUUGACUUGCUUUCCCUCAAUGGGGGAUGUCCUGGAAUAGAAAUUUGUUUCCAAGCGUUUUUUGUGUUGUGCAUAGUCGUUUAUUGGGUUUUUGUGGGGAUAGAUAUGUAAAUUCUCUAGCUGGGG
rnacentral:misc_RNA from 1 species